rnacentral:rRNA from 1 species
UACGUAGGGUGCAAGCGUUGUCCGGAAUUAUUGGGCGUAAAGAGCUUGUAGGCGGUUUGUCGCGUCUGCUGUGAAAUUUCGGGGCUCAACCCCGAACUUGCAGUGGGUACGGGCAGACUAGAGUGUGGUAGGGGAGACUGGAAUUCCUGGUGUAGCGGUGAAAUGCGCAGAUAUCAGGAGGAACACCGGUGGCGAAGGCGGCUCACUGGUCCGGUACUGACGCUGAGGUGCGAAAGCGUGGGGAGCAAACAGG